GACGGAGGAGGCAAGCGUUAUCCGGAAUUAUUGGGCGUAAAGCGUGCGCAGGCGGUUUUGUAAGCCAGAUGUGAAAUCCCCGGGCUUAACCUGGGAAUGGCAUUUGGGACUGCAAGGCUUGAGUGCGGCAGAGGAGACUGGAAUUCCUGGUGUAGCAGUGAAAUGCGUAGAUAUCAGGAGGAACACCCGUAGCGAAGGCGGCACUCUGGGCCGGAACUGACGCUGAGGAGCGAAAGCGUGGGGAGCGAACAGG
rnacentral:rRNA from 1 species